CCUACGGGAGGCAGCAGUAAGGGAUAUUGGUCAAUGGGGGAAACCCUGAACCAGCAACGCCGCGUGAGGGAAGACGGUUUUCGGAUUGUAAACCUCUGUCCUCUGUGAAGAUGAUGACGGUAGCAGAGGAGGAAGCUCCGGCCAACUACGUGCCAGAAGCCGCGGUAAUACGGAGGGAGCGGGCGUUGUCCGGAUUUACUGGGUGUAAAGGGUGCGUAGGCGGCUUGGCAAGUCAGUAGUGAAAUCCAUGGGCUUAACCCAUGAACUGCUAUUGAAACUGGCGAGCUUGAGUGAAGUAGAGGUAGGCGGAAUGCCCGGUGUAGCGGUGAAAUGCGUAGAGAUCGGGAGGAACACCAGUGGCGAAGGCGGCCUGCUGGGCUUUAACUGACGCUGAGGCACGAAAGCGUGGGUAGCAAACAGGAUUAGAUACCCCGGUAGUC
rnacentral:rRNA from 1 species